rnacentral:rRNA from 1 species
GGCCUGGUACGGUGGUCCGCCUUCACGGUGUGUACUGUCUGACCGGGUCCUACCUCUUGGUGAGCCGGCAUGCCCUUCACUGGGUGUGUCGGGGAACCAGGACUUUUACCUUGAAAAAAUUAGAGUGUUCAAAGCAGGCUGUUUACAGCUUGAAUAUCUUAGCAUGGAAUAAUAGAAUAG